rnacentral:rRNA from 1 species
AUUGAACGCUGGCGGCAGGCCUAACACAUGCAAGUCGAGCGGAGCGGCGGACGUGCGAGUAAUUCCUAGGAAUCUGCCUGGUCGUGGGGGAUAACGUCCGGAUCCAGGCGCUACUACCGCAUAUUCUCCGUCGAGCCUAGGUGGGAUUAGCUAGCUGGUGGGGUAACGGCCUACCAAGGCGACGAUCCGUCACUGGUCUGAGAGGAUGAUCAGUCACGAGGGGACUGAGACACGGUCAAGACUCCUACGGGAGGCAGCAGUGGGGAAUAUUGGACAAUGGGCGAAAGCCUGAUGCAGCCAUGACGCGUGGGUGAAGAAGGUCUUCGGAUUGUAAAGCACUGUAAGGUGGGAGGCGUUACCAACAGAAGAAGCACCGGCUAACUUCGUGCCAGCAGCCGCGGUAAUAC